AGACGGCCAUACCACUCUCAAAUACCGGUUCCCGCACGGUCACCGAAGUUAAGCAACUUCCACUCAGCACUUAGAAGGGUGACCGUUUGGGAAUACCAGGUGCUGUAAU